rnacentral:rRNA from 1 species
UUCCAGACUCCUACGGGAGGCAGCAGUGGGGAAUAUUGCACAAUGGGGGAAACCCUGAUGCAGCGACGCCGCGUGAGUGAAGAAGUAUCUCGGUACGUAAAGCUCUAUCAGCAGGGAAGAAAAUGACGGUACCUGACUAAGAAGCCCCGGCUAACUACGUGCCAGCAGCCGCGGUAAUACGUAGGGGGCAAGCGUUAUCCGGAUUUACUGGGUGUAAAGGGAGCGCAGACGGCUGUGCAAGUCUGGAGUGAAAGGCGGGGGCCCAACCCCCGGACUGCUCUGGAAACUGUAAAGCUGGAGUGCAGGAGAGGUAAGCGGAAUUCCUAGUGUAGCGGUGAAAUGCGUAGAUAUUAGGAGGAACACCAGUGGCGAAGGCGGCUUACUGGACUGCAACUGACGUUGAGGCUCGAAAGCGUGGGGAGCAAACAGGAUUAGAUACCCUCGUAC